GAAAUGCGAUAAUUAAUGUGAAUUGCAGAAUUCAGUGAAUCAUCGAGUCUUUGAACGCACAUUGCGCCCCCUGGUAUUCCGGGGGGCAUGCCUGUCCGAGCGUCAUUGCUGCCCUCAAGCACGGCUUGUGUGUUGGGCUUCCGUCCCUGGCAACGGGGACGGGCCCAAAAGGCAGUGGCGGCACCAUGUCUGGUCCUCGAGCGUAUGGGGCUCUGUCACCCGCUCCCGUAGGUCCAGCUGGCAGCUAGCCUCGCAACCAAUCUUUUUAACCAGGUUGACCUCGGAUCAGGUAGGGAUACCCGCUGAACUUAAGC
rnacentral:misc_RNA from 1 species